AGUGACCUUUAGCCUGACUACUCCGCGGGGAUGCAAGCAAGAACAUACUGAGAACAUGAUGGAGAUGCCGAGAAACAAGAUCAUUACCAUCACUGCCGGGGAAUUUGAGGUCCCCUGGAAUACUUAUGGAUGCGGGGAGAUAAGCUUCAGUAUGAUGAACACUGAUGGGUUCUGGAAGCGUGGCUUGGUUGUUAUUGGAGCCCUUGUUCUGCCUAAGGUUAAUUGGUAAAAUAUGUAAUGGAAAUCAGCUGUAUAAUAAUGGUGGCUUGAUAUUCAUGCAAUAUCAAUUCAAUUAAAUGAAUAAAAUAAAUGAGUGGUUGGUUUACUAUUUACUUGCCAUUCUUGUCAUCGCGUUAGCAAAAACGAUCAAGAUUCAAACAGUAAUACAAGCAAGAGCUCAAAAUAAAGAACUGAAAGUGGAAUAUCGAAAAUAAUAAGAUGCUAAUUCAAACUAUAACAAAACCGGAGAAGAAGUGGAAUAUCGUUGUUGCUCAACCUCUCCUGCCAUCGAAAAUUUGAAAUUAUAAGAAGAAAAAGUAGUUCAGAGCCCGUUUGACUGAGUUUUAAACUGUGUGACCGAUAACUUAACCUGACUUAUUGUGAUAAGCCGAGAGUUUAAAAUAUACUACUAAUAACUUAUGGAUUAUUAAAAAUGUAAUAAUAAAAAUAAAAGUAAAUUAUGGGUAACUUAUAACUUAUGGGUAAAAUUAUCAAUUUUUUUUUUUUUUUAAAAUGAAGUCAUCGAAAAAUAUAACUCAAACUAAUUUCUCGAUUUAAGUCCGUUUUUGACUUAUUUAUGUGUUUAAGUCUUAUUACAAAAACAAAUAUUUUUGUCACAAACAUUCCUAGUCCCCUCAAGUCAAGCGUAGACAAACAACUACACUUUCUUGAUAAGAGAAUUUGAGACUUCGAGGUGAAACAGCUCGUUACAUACAUUUUUCUAAAACAUUCAUUUAUAUUGUUGUAUAAAAUUGUCAGGUCUCAGUACAACUCUUGCUUGGGAAGUGCUUGCUAUUUAAUAGGAUACAUGCACCUUUCAACAGCUGAGAAAUAACAAAUACGUGCCGGAAGCUUGGCCGGUUGGGCCUAACUUGUACACUUACAACUCAUGCUGACAGGAAACUGAAAGAAAGCUUGAAAUAGAACCAAAAUUUUGUGGUAUUUUGGCUAAUUUGAACAUACAGGAUUGCCAAGAAUAUUAUUGCAAUCUGCCAACUGAAUAUAGGUUUCUAUCUAAAAUAAAGAAGAUGCAUAUAUUCCAAAAUUUGACCCACACACAACUUUAUACCUAAUCUGGAUAACUGCCUUUAAGGCUUUUAAGAAAACAUAUUCCAGAAGAUGAGGGUUCCUUGUAAAUUCUUUGCAGCAUGAAUGCAUACUUUUUAUUUCCUAUCAAUUUUAGUGCAUAAAGAAUCCAGUUGAAUUGCAGAGGAACCUUUAUGUAUAGACUAAUUUGAGGAAGAAAUGUUUAUCAAAUUUAUCCAACUAAAACUUGGACAUAGUUCAUAAUGAUAUAUGUUGUCGAUUUUCAGUGAUUUCUCAAUGUUAUCACUUCCUGAAAUGACCAGAUCAGAAUUUUCCGCGUGUUAAAAUCACCAGAAUUAUUCUUCUGUGAAAGGACCACAAUAGUUAGGAACAAGAAUCCAAUUGGAAUGAAAAGCUUGCAUGCAUUAUUGGAGAUGUUCUGGAAGAUCCUGGUUUCUGAGUACUAUAAAUACUGGUUGAUUGUAGAGUUUUAAGUCAUCGCAAUUGAAAGGAAAACAGUACUAAGUUAAUACUUGUUCUUUCAAUCGAGAUAAUGGCUCAAGCAGUGAGGUGUCUUGAUGGUCAGUCACUUUUGUGUCAGGCCAAGGCCGGCCAGAACAUGCAGUGUCCCAGGAACCAGAACAAUUCGGUAAGCCCUGAGUGUGAAAUUAUCGAUACUAACAUAUUUAUCUAUUGACACUGGCAUAAAUAUUUGAUGGUCUUUCUGUAUAGAGUGUCAUUGGACAUCAGGAUGCAAGGGAACUGGAAAUCAUUUGGGGUUCUGACACUCGCUACUGGAAGUGGACAAGCAUGCAAAUCGGGUGAGUUCAGUACUGACAGGAAUGGAUCAUCAUUCAAACAACUCUGCAAUAGUUCAUUGCUCAACUCAUUUUCAAUAUUUUCUGACAUUUUAGUUUGUAUUACGCAGUGGACAUUGCAUUGAAGUUGCUGAAUUGAUUGAUGUCUGCUGGCUGGAAAUCAAUGGGAAAUACGCGAUGAAAAAACUUACUCCAGGAAUGGAUUACCAAGUGAAGUUCGUGUUGAAGCUUAACAACAACUUUAACAUUGACAAACCAGUGACCUUUAGCCUGACUACUCCAGAGGGAUGCAAGGAAGAGCAUAAGGAGAACAUGAUGCAAAUGCCAAGAAACCAAAUCAUUACCAUCAAUGCCGGGGAGUUUCAGACCCCCCGGAACAACUGUGGAUGUGGAGAAGUCAAGUACCAGAUGAUGAACACUGAUGGCUUCUGGAAGCGUGGCCUGGUUGUCAUUGGAGUCGUCAUCGUGCCCAAAUACAAUUAAAUAAAACCAGUAUGCUAGUGAACUACUCCUAAAUACCAUCUCUAUCAAUAAAUGCAACUCAGUUACAUGGGUGGCUGUUACUAAUCAGAAUGAUAUGUAAUAGAUAACAACUACCUGCUAAUGGUGGCUUGAUGAUCAUGCAUAAAUAUGAAUAAAUAUAUGAUGGUGGUUUAUUAUUUUCUUUGCAGUUAUGGUUUGCAGAAGAGGAUUUAUUUUUAUUACUGAACUCUGAACUAAAACAAAUCUGAAGUUCCGAAGUUGGACUUAGAUUUUUCUUCUGAAAAACCCAUAACAGUUACUAUUUUUAUAUAUCAAAUAUCGUCGAUUCUUUGACAUAACAUUUCUGUCAGAAAUAUUUUCUUCGGAAGAAACAAUUAAAUCCUCCACCUUAAUGUAGAACUGAUCCUAUUAUGCAGCAAGUCUGGAGACCAAAGCAAAUCAUUUUAUUGGUAAUCUAUUCAUAUAAGCCAACCAAACACAUUCGUUGGCUCAAUCUUGGCUGAUAUAUAUUGACCUAAUAAACAAAGUAAAUGCCAACACACACAAGCUUGUCAUAUUAUUGAACUUGUACUAAUACAUUCGUCACUUCAAUCUUGGCUACGGUACUCAAUUGUUGACCUAGUAAAGAAUGUAAAAUGCCAACAUACAGAAGUUUGUCAUGUCAUGAAUGUAUUCUUGUUGAGUGUUGUCGUCAACUAAAACAAAUAUAUCCUCAACGACGACUAUAAAUAUUACAGCCUAACAGAGAGAGUUCAAGUCAUUGAAAAUACUUCAACAAGCUAGCUUCAUAAGACAUAUAACCAGAAUCAAUAUAUCAAGAAGAUGGCACUAUCAAAUUGGUCUGCGUAUAACAUCUCUGCAUUAUGGUCUUAUGCCCGUGAUGGGAAAAGGCUAAGCUGUCUUUCCCAGCGCAAUAAUACGGUACUAAGUUGUUCCUCAAGCGCGCACACAAUAUUUUAUUGUUUUAUAGAUCAAUGAUUUUUUUUUUUUCUUUAGAGCAUCGUCGGGAUUGUAGGGGCAAGCAACCUCAGAAUUAACUUGGGUUCUGACAGCAGUUGCUGGAAACGCACUACCAGAUUUAUUAGGUAAGUCGGAAGCAUGCCUGUGUAGAGUUGGUGUCAAUCCAAGUUCCACGUCAUAAAGAUACUAUUUAUUUCAGAACUUGUCUAAUUAUUUGAUAUCAUACUGGUCAUUUUGGCAGAGGUUCCCAUGCCAGUUGUUAUGAAUUAACAAGCAUACGGUCGCUACAAGUGAGUGGAAGAUACGGGAUACAUUCUCUGACAGAAGGAAUGCGUUAUAAUGUGCUGAUUGUGGUAGAGUUGUUACAAACUUGCAUUACUGGGCCGCUGACAUGCACUCUUAUUGAUUCCACCGGACAUAGGCAUGACUCCAAGAAGUAUUACUGUUCGCAAAUGGUGAAGAACCAAAUCAUAAGCCUUCAUGUUGGCCAGUUCUGUGCCCGCAAGUCGUUAUUUGGCUAUGGAGAAAUCAACUUCUCCGUAGUCAACACUGAUAAAGAACGGAAGCAUGGUAUCGUCGUGAUUGGAGCUCUUGUUGUGCCUGUAAAGUAAAAUAGGCCGGGAAGAAAGUCUGGAUAGAAAUGGGCAUACCUACAUUGAAAAGUCCCCCAUAUACAUCAAUACACCAAAAUCCCAUAUGCAGAGGAAUUUCUACUGUUUUUUCCUUAUUUUGCAUUUGGUUAAUGAUAUGACGAAUGGAACUUAUAGCCACUACUGCAUGUUUCAAUUUAUAGACCAUAAAUUAUAAUACAAUUUUCACUUAACUAGUGCCACACAUCAUGAAUCUAUUUUAAUUAGACAAGUCUAAACAACAAAUUGACACAACAGUACAUUUGUAAGUGAACUCCUACAAAAAUUGAUCAAUAGCUUACCCAAACUGUUUAAAUAUUAGGAUUUACAUAAAUCUUCCUCAGAGUCCCUACCCAGAUGUAAAUAUAUUAUCUUCUAAUAUUCAACCCUCGGAAUCUGUCAAAUAAAUGGGGCUUUCCAGAUCAGCUGCAGUUGCUGAGGCAAAAGAGUCAAAACUAUCUACAGAUGACAAGGAAGAAGGGCAGUUGUAUGAGUCUGUAGAAGUUUGUUUAUUGCAGCCUUUGCAGCUUCAACAAACCAUUCAUCCUCUGGUGAUGCACUACAAAGAUAUUACAAUCUCAGAUUGAGGCAGAAGGAGAAUCUUCCCAGUUAAAGGUAACAGUUGUACACUGGGAAGCUUGGCCGGCUAGGACUUGUACACUUACAAGUCAUGUUGUGACAGGAAAUUUUAAAAAACCUUCAGGCAGAACCAAAUUUUUUGUUGUAUUUUGGCUAAUUUGAACAUACAGGAUUACAAAGAAUAUUAUCGCAAUUCUAUCUGCAAUAAAGAAGAUGCAUAUAUUCCAAAAAUUGACCCACACACAACUUUAUACCUAAUCUGUAUAACUGCCUUUAAGGCUUUUAAAAAAACAUACUCCACAAGAUGAGGGUUCCUUGUCAUUCUUUGCAGCAUGAAUGCAUACUUUUUAUUUCCUAUCAAUUUUUAGUAAAUAAAGAUUCCAGUUCAAUUCCAGAGGAACCUUAUGUACUUAUUCGAGGAAAAAAUGUAUUUGUUUAUCUAAUUUAUCCAACUAAACUUAGACAUAGUUCAUGAUAUAUAUGUUGUCGAUGUUUCAUGAUUUCUCAAUGUUAUUACUUCCUGAAAUGACCAGAUCAGAUAUAUCCUAAUUAUUCUUCUUUGCCAAGGACCAAAAUGAAUGGAACAAGAAUCCAGUUGGGUGAAUGAAAAGCUUGCAUGCAUUAUUGUAGAUGUUCUCAUUUCUGAGUACUAUAAAUGCUGGUUGAUUGUAGAGUUUUAAGUCAUCGCGAUUGAAAGAAAACAGUACUAAGUAAUACUUGUUCUUUCAAUCGCGAAAAUGGCUCAAGCAGUGAGGUGUCUUGAUGGUCAGUCACUUUGGUGUCUGGCUAAGGCAGGCCAGAACAAUUCGGUAAGUGUGAAAUUGUAAUUAGUACGUUCAUAUUUAUUGACAUUGGCAUAAGUAUCCGACGAUCUUUCUGUAUAGAGUGUCAUUGGGCAUCUGGAUGCAAGGGAACUGGAAAUUACCUGGGGUUGCGACACUCGCUACUGGAAAUGGAUUGGCAUGCAAAUCGGGUGAGUUCAUUUAAAAAGAUAGAUAGGAAUAUAUGAUCAUUACUAUAAUCCUGUCUAACAUUUUUGUUUCUAUUACACAGUGGACAUUGCAUUGAAGUUGCUGAACUGAUUAAUGUCUGCCGGCUGGAAAUUAAUGGGAGAUACGCGAUGAAUAAACUUACUGCAGAAAUGAAUUACCAAGUGAAGUUCGUGUUGAAGCUCUUGAACAAUUUCAACAUUGACAAACCACUGAUCUUUAGCCUGACUACUCCAGAGGGAUGCAGGAAAGAGCAUCAGAAGAACAUGAUGCAAAUGUCAAGAAACCAAAUCAUUACCAUCGAUGUCGGGGAAUUUCAGACCCCCCCGGAACAAUUGUAGAUCUGGAGAAGUCAGGUUCCAGAUGGAUAAAACUGAUCACUUUUGGAAGCGUGGCCUGGUUGUCAUUGGAGCCGUUGUUGUGCCCAAAUACAAUUAAAUAAAAC
rnacentral:lncRNA from 1 species